GUAGAUAUAGUUUAACAAAGACAUUAGACCGUGACUCUGAAGAUAGGAAAUAAAAACUCCUUAUCUACC
rnacentral:tRNA from 1 species